AAAAAUACUUGGCAAACGAAUUUAUUCAAAGGACACAAAAUUGUGUCAGCUUUAUCACAUUGGUCUUCAUCUUACUUAUUACUCAGCACCUGAACCCACAUAAUGAGUCGAAUCGAUGAUUUUCCCUACAGGUUGUUUUGUCACAUUAAAACAACAAUAGAAUAAUCUUUCCACUGGUGAACAAUAUCCAUCUUGAUAGCCUUCCACUUUGCAUCGUUCCAUGCAAACAGCAGGACGGCAGAUUGCCACCCUAGCUCUGUGCUUGCAUCCGAGUCUAGAUUCACCUACAUAACCAAAAUAAAAUUUAUUACACAUCUGUUCACAAGUAGAAUGUAUCAUAAGGCAACUAUAUAAUACUCACUCCGUCCCAAAAUAAGUGUCGCUGAUUUAGUACAAAGUCGUACUAAAUCAGCGACAAUUUUUUGGGAUGGAGGGAGUAUAAUUUUUCAGGAGCAUGUUGUCCUAUACUUACUGCAAGACACCAGGACUGCUAAUAUAAAGAUGGAUGUAGCAGUGGUGGCAAUCUUGUAAGUCAUGAGGGUGUUAAUUGCUUUCAAUAUAGAGGAGCAAGUCUAGCUUUGAGGGCUUCUGUUCACAUGUUCGUAUAUUUUUAUAUG
rnacentral:lncRNA from 1 species